GAUGAACGCUGGCGGCGUGCCUAAUACAUGCAAGUCGAGCGAACGGACGAGAAGCUUGCUUCUCUGAUGUUAGCGGCGGACGGGUGAGUAACACGUGGAUAACCUACCUAUAAGACUGGGAUAACUUCGGGAAACCGGAGCUAAUACCGGAUAAUAUUUUGAACCGCAUGGUUCAAAAGUGAAAGACGGUCUUGCUGUCACUUAUAGAUGGAUCCGCGCUGCAUUAGCUAGUUGGUAAGGUAACGGCUUACCAAGGCAACGAUGCAUAGCCGACCUGAGAGGGUGAUCGGCCACACUGGAACUGAGACACGGUCCAGACUCCUACGGGAGGCAGCAGUAGGGAAUCUUCCGCAAUGGGCGAAAGCCUGACGGAGCAACGCCGCGUGAGUGAUGAAGGUCUUCGGAUCGUAAAACUCUGUUAUUAGGGAAGAACAUAUGUGUAAGUAACUGUGCACAUCUUGACGGUACCUAAUCAGAAAGCCACGGCUAACUACGUGCCAGCAGCCGCGGUAAUACGUAGGUGGCAAGCGUUAUCCGGAAUUAUUGGGCGUAAAGCGCGCGUAGGCGGUUUUUUAAGUCUGAUGUGAAAGCCCACGGCUCAACCGUGGAGGGUCAUUGGAAACUGGAAAACUUGAGUGCAGAAGAGGAAAGUGGAAUUCCAUGUGUAGCGGUGAAAUGCGCAGAGAUAUGGAGGAACACCAGUGGCGAAGGCGACUUUCUGGUCUGUAACUGACGCUGAUGUGCGAAAGCGUGGGGAUCAAACAGGAUUAGAUACCCUGGUAGUCCACGCCGUAAACGAUGAGUGCUAAGUGUUAGGGGGUUUCCGCCCCUUAGUGCUGCAGCUAACGCAUUAAGCACUCCGCCUGGGGAGUACGACCGCAAGGUUGAAACUCAAAGGAAUUGACGGGGACCCGCACAAGCGGUGGAGCAUGUGGUUUAAUUCGAAGCAACGCGAAGAACCUUACCAAAUCUUGACAUCCUUUGACAACUCUAGAGAUAGAGCCUUCCCCUUCGGGGGACAAAGUGACAGGUGGUGCAUGGUUGUCGUCAGCUCGUGUCGUGAGAUGUUGGGUUAAGUCCCGCAACGAGCGCAACCCUUAAGCUUAGUUGCCAUCAUUAAGUUGGGCACUCUAAGUUGACUGCCGGUGACAAACCGGAGGAAGGUGGGGAUGACGUCAAAUCAUCAUGCCCCUUAUGAUUUGGGCUACACACGUGCUACAAUGGACAAUACAAAGGGCAGCGAAACCGCGAGGUCAAGCAAAUCUCAUAAAGUUGUUCUCAGUUCGGAUUGUAGUCUGCAACUCGACUACAUGAAGCUGGAAUCGCUAGUAAUCGUAGAUCAGCAUGCUACGGUGAAUACGUUCCCGGGUCU
rnacentral:rRNA from 1 species